CCAAGGAGUCUAACAUGUGCGCGAGUCAUGGGGUCGUACGAAACCUAAAGGCGCAAUGAAAGUGAAGGCCGCCUCGGGUGUGCCUAGGUACGAUCCUUCCCGCUUUCGGCGGGGAGGCGCAGUACCGGCCCGUCUCGUCCGCUCGACGGGGAGGCGGAGCAAGAGCGUACACGUUGGGACCCGAAAGAUGGUGAACUAUGCUUGAGUAGGACGAAGCCAGAGGAAACUCUGGUGGAGGUCCGUAGCGAUUCUGACGUGCAAAUCGAUCGUCAAACUUGAGUAUAGGGGCGAAAGACUAAUCGAACCAUCUA
rnacentral:rRNA from 1 species